CGCUGUCACUCCUACGGGAGGCAGCAGUGGGGGAAUAUUGCACAAUGGGCGCAAGCCUGAUGCAGCCAUGCCGCGUGUAUGAAGAAGGCCUUCGGGUUGUAAAGUACUUUCAGCAGUGAGGAAGGCGGGUACGUUAAUAGCGUGCUCGUUUGACGUUAGCUGCAGAAGAAGCACCGGCUAACUCCGUGCCAGCAGCCGCGGUAAUACGGAGGGUGCGAGCGUUAAUCGGAAUUACUGGGCGUAAAGCGCAUGCAGGUGGUUUGUUAAGUCAGAUGUGAAAGCCCGGGGCUCAACCUCGGAAUUGCAUUUGAAACUGGCAGACUAGAGUACUGUAGAGGGGGUAGAAUUUCAGGUGUAGCGGUGAAAAUGCGUAGAGAUCUGAAGGAAUACCGGUGGCGAAGGCGGCCCCCUGGACAGAUACUGACACUCAGAUGCGAAAGCGUGGGGAGCAAACAGGAUUAGAUACCCUGGUAG
rnacentral:rRNA from 1 species